GCCUCAUGUAAGAAAUUUCAAAACCAAACGCUUGUCUCCAUAUAAUUGUGUUCACGGCGAGUGCCUUGCAAGAAGCAAGUUCUGUUUUCCCUCAGACGUAGCCCCGAUUUUUCAGGAUCAAUGUUUCUUAUUUGUUUGUCUUUUGUUCAUUGAUUGCCCUUCUGUAUUCUGUUAGUGUUACAUUUGUUUGUAAUCUAGUAAUUUUUUUAUGAACUUGAUCAUGAGUUUAAAAAUAAAACCAGCAGCCACGGACUUAACUAUGUGAAUUCCAUUUUUGCUUUAUCAUGCACAUUGGUCUUUUGAUGUUGUCCCUAGAAACUUAAGUCUUACACUGAAAU
rnacentral:lncRNA from 1 species